rnacentral:rRNA from 1 species
AUUGAACGCUGGCGGCAUGCCUUACACAUGCAAGUCGAACGGUAACAGGUUAAGCUGACGAGUGGCGAACGGGUGAGUAAUGUAUCGGAACGUGCCCAGUCGUGGGGGAUAACUGCUCGAAAGAGCAGCUAAUACCGCAUACGACCUGAGGGUGAAAGCGGGGGAUCGCAAGACCUCGCGCGAUUGGAGCGGCCGAUAUCAGAUUAGGUAGUUGGUGAGGUAAAGGCUCACCAAGCCGACGAUCUGUAGCUGGUCUGAGAGGACGACCAGCCACACUGGGACUGAGACACGGCCCAGACUCCUACGGGAGGCAGCAGUGGGGAAUUUUGGACAAUGGGCGCAAGCCUGAUCCAGCCAUACCGCGUGCGGGAAGAAGGCCUUCGGGUUGUAAACCGCUUUUGUCAGGGAAGAAAAGGUUCUGGCUAAUACCUGGGACUCAUGACGGUACCUGAAGAAUAAGCACCGGCUAACUACGUG